rnacentral:rRNA from 1 species
ACGAACGCUGGCGGCGUGCUUAACACAUGCAAGUCGAACGGAAAGGCCCUGCUUGCAGGGUACUCGAGUGGCGAACGGGUGAGUAACACGUGGGUGAUCUGCCCUGCACUUCGGGAUAAGCCUGGGAAACUGGGUCUAAUACCGGAUAGGAGCCAUUUUUAGUGUGAUGGUUGGAAAGUUUUUUCGGUGUAGGAUGAGCUCGCGGCCUAUCAGCUUGUUGGUGGGGUAAUGGCCUACCAAGGCGGCGACGGGUAGCCGGCCUGAGAGGGUGGACGGCCACAUUGGGACUGAGAUACGGCCCAGACUCCUACGGGAGGCAGCAGUGGGGAAUAUUGCACAAUGGGCGCAGGCCUGAUGCAGCGACGCCGCGUGGGGGAUGACGGCCUUCGGGUUGUAAACUCCUUUCGCUAGGGACGAAGCUUUUUGUGACGGUACCUAGAUAAGAAGCACCGGCUAACUACGUG